CUACACAUGCAAGUCGAGAGGGGUAAGCCCUCGGCAAACGGGUGCGUAACACGUAGGAAUCUGCCCUCAUCUCAGGGAUAACCCAUCGAAAGAUGGAGUAAUACCUGAUAGUCUCCGACGUAAAAAUCGGAGUAAAGAUUUAUCGGAUGAGGAGGAGCCUGCGGCCUAUCAGCUAGUUGGCGGGGUAAAUGCCCACCAAGGCUACGACGGGUAGCUGGUCUUAGAGGACGAUCAGCCACAAGGGAACUGAGACACGGUCCCUACUCCUACGGGAGGCAGCAGUUGGGAAUAUUGCGCAAUGGACGAAAGUCUGACGCAGCGACACCGCGUGGAGGAAGACGCCUUUCGGGGUGUAAACUCCUUUUAUCUGGGAGGAUUAUGACAGUACCAGAUGAAUAAGUGACGGCAAACUACGUGCCAGAAGCCUCGGUGAUACGUAGGUCACAAGCGUUAUCCGGAAUUAUUGGGCGUAAAGCGUACGCAGGUGGUUUUAAAAGUUUUUUGUUAAAUUUUUAGGCUCAACUUAAAAAUUGCAGAAAAUACUUUAAAACUAGAGGCCAAUAGAGGUGCAUGGAAUUCUCGGUGUAGGAGUAAAAUCCGUUGAUAUCGAGAGGAACACCAAUGGCGAAGGCAGUGCACUAGAUUGGUUCUGACACUAAUGUACGAAAGCGUGGGUAGCGAAAAGGAUAGAUACCCUUGUAGUCCACGCCGUAAACGAUGCAGACUGGUUGUUGGGAGUAUCGAC
rnacentral:rRNA from 1 species